rnacentral:rRNA from 1 species
GAAGCAAGCCGCGAGGUAGAGCAAAUACUCAAAAAAACAAUCUCAGUUCAGACUGCAGGCUGCAACUCGCCUGCACGAAGUCGGAAUUGCUAGUAAUCGUAGGUCAGCAUACUACGGUGAAUACGUUCCCGGGCCUUGUACACACCGCCCGUCAAACCAUGAGAGUUGGCAACACCCGAAGUCGGUAGUCUAACCGCAAGGAGGACGCCGCCGAAGAUGGGGUUGAUGAUUAGGGUUAAGUCGUAACAAGGUAGC